UGUCUUAAGGGCAAUUGGUGGAUGCCUUGGCAGGCACAGGCGAUGAAGGACGUGAUACGCUGCGAUAAGCUACGGGGAGGUGCGAAUACCCUUUGAUCCGUAGAUUUCCGAAUGGGGCAACCCACCUAAGAUACUUGUAAAAUCAGAGCGGACGGUUCGCCGGCCGCUGUGGUUUACAAGUAUCGCUAAUAGGUAACUUACCCUGAAUACAUAGGGGUAAAGUGGCGAACGCGGGGAACUGAAACAUCUAAGUACCCGUAGGAAAGGACAUCAACCGAGACUCCGCAAGUAGUGGCGAGCGAACGCGGACCAGGCCAGCGGCUUUUGUGAGACAAGCGGAACCAUCUGGAAAGUUGGACCAUAGUGGGUGACAGUCCCGUACGCGUAAUGCGAGCAAAAGUCCUUGAGUAAGGCGGGACACGUGAAAUCCUGUCUGAACAUGGGGAGACCACUCUCCAAGCCUAAGUACUCGUGCAUGACCGAUAGCGAACUAGUACCGUGAGGGAAAGGUGAAAAGCACCCCGACAAGGGGAGUGAAAGAGUACCUGAAACCGAUUGCCUACAAACAGUGGGAGCCUGAAAUGGUGACCACGUACCUUUUGUAUAAUGGGUCAGCGACUUAGUGUGACGAGCAAGCUUAAGCCGGUAGGUGUAGGCGCAGCGAAAGCGAGUCUGAACAGGGCGUUCAGUUCGUCGCAUUAGACCCGAAACCGAGUGAUCUAGCCAUGAGCAGGCUGAAGGUAAGGUAACACUUACUGGAGGGCCGAACCCAUAACUGUUGCAAUAGUUCGGGAUGACUUGUGGCUAGGGGUGAAAGGCCAAUCAAACUCGGAAAUAGCUGGUUCUCCGCGAAAUCUAUUUAGGUAGAGCGUCGACCGAAUACCCUGGGGGGUAAAGCACUACAUGGGCUAGGGGUCCUCACCGGAUUACCAAACCUAAGUAAACUCUGAAUACCCAGGAGUACUAGUCGGCAGACACACGGCGGGUGCUAACGUCCGUCGUGAAAAGGGAAACAACCCUGACCUACAGCUAAGGUCCCCAAGUUAUGGCUAAGUGGGAAAGGAUGUGAGGAUCCCAAAACAACCAGGAUGUUGGCUUAGAAGCAGCCAUCAUUUAAAGAAAGCGUAACAGCUCACUGGUCUAAUUAAGGGUCUUUGCGCCGAAAAUGUAACGGGGCUAAAGCCAUACACCGAAGCUUAGGGUUUGCAGCAAUGCAAGCGGUAGCGGAGCGUUCCGUAAGCCUGUGAAGGGAGACCCGUGAGGGCUCCUGGAGGUAUCGGAAGUGCGAAUGCUGACAUGAGUAACGUAAGGGGUGUGAGAGACACCCCCGCCGAAAGUCCAAGGGUUCCUGCUUAAAGUUAAUCUGAGCAGGGUUAGCCGGCCCCUAAGGCGAGGCCGAAAGGCGUAGUCGAUGGGAAUCACGUUAAUAUUCGUGAGCCUGGAGGUAGUGACGGAUCAUCAAAAUUGUUCGACCUUAUCGGAUUGGUCGGGCAGUCGCGUGGUCCCAGGAAAUAGCUCCUCCUUAUAGUCCGUACCCGAAACCGACACUGGUGGACUGGUAGAGUAUACCAAGGCGCUUGAGAGAACUAUGCUGAAGGAACUCGGCAAAUUGCACGCGUAACUUCGGAAGAAGCGUGACCCUUCAUUGCGCAAGCAGUGGGGGGUGGCACAGACCAGGGGGUAGCGACUGUUUAUCAAAAACACAGGGCUCUGCGAAGUCGCAAGACGACGUAUAGGGUCUGACGCCUGCCCGGUGCUGGAAGGUUAAGAGGAGGGGUGCAAGCUCUGAAUCGAAGCCCCAGUAAACGGCGGCCGUAACUAUAACGGUCCUAAGGUAGCGAAAUUCCUUGUCGGGUAAGUUCCGACCUGCACGAAUGGCGUAACGACUUCCCCGCUGUCUCCAGCAUAGACUCAGUGAAAUUGAAUUCCCCGUGAAGAUGCGGGGUUCCUGCGGUUAGACGGAAAGACCCCGUGCACCUUUACUAUAGCUUUACAUUGGCAUUCGUAGUGGCAUGUGUAGGAUAGGUGGUAGGCUUUGAAGCCAGGGCGCCAGCCUUGGUGGAGCCACCCUUGAAAUACCACCCUUAUCUCUAUGGAUGUCUAACCGCGGCCCGUUAUCCGGGUCCGGGACAAUGUAUGGUGGGUAGUUUGACUGGGGCGGUCGCCUCCUAAAGAGUAACGGAGGCGCGCGAUGGUGGGCUCAGAACGGUCGGAAAUCGUUCGCUGAGUGCAAUGGCAUAAGCCUGCCUGACUGCGAGACUGACAAGUCGAGCAGAGACGAAAGUCGGUCAUAGUGAUCCGGUGGUCCCGUGUGGAAGGGCCAUCGCUCAACGGAUAAAAGGUACGCCGGGGAUAACAGGCUGAUGACCCCCAAGAGUCCAUAUCGACGGGGUUGUUUGGCACCUCGAUGUCGACUCAUCGCAUCCUGGGGCUGGAGCAGGUCCCAAGGGUAUGGCUGUUCGCCAUUUAAAGCGGUA
rnacentral:rRNA from 1 species